GCACCGAGAUUCAACAUGGAACGAGUGGCGGACGGGUGAGUAACACGUGGGUAACCUGCCCUUAAGUGGGGGAUAACAUUUGGAAACAGAUGCUAAUACCGCAUAGAUCCAAGAACCGCAUGGUUCUUGGCUGAAAGAUGGCGUAAGCUAUCGCUUUUGGAUGGACCCGCGGCGUAUUAGCUAGUUGGUGAGGUAAUGGCUCACCAAGGCGAUGAUACGUAGCCGAACUGAGAGGUUGAUCGGCCACAUUGGGACUGAGACACGGCCCAAACUCCUACGGGAGGCAGCAGUAGGGAAUCUUCCACAAUGGACGCAAGUCUGAUGGAGCAACGCCGCGUGAGUGAAGAAGGCUUUCGGGUCGUAAAACUCUGUUGUUGGAGAAGAAUGGUCGGCAGAGUAACUGUUGCCGGCGUGACGGUAUCCAACCAGAAAGCCACGGCUAACUACGUGCCAGCAGCCGCGGUAAUACGUAGGUGGCAAGCGUUAUCCGGAUUUAUUGGGCGUAAAGCGAGCGCAGGC
rnacentral:rRNA from 1 species